AACUAACUUAUACUUCUUAAGGAGUAUUGGGGACAAACUUUAUCGACGACGACCAACUAUCAAGAUUGUAAUCUUCUUCUUACACUUGGCAGACAUUUGCAGUCUCUAAGCCUUGAGGAGUUAACUUAUGAAGUAGAGAGAGUAACACAACAUCAUGAUGAUGAUGUCGAGGUACUCUUAUCAUUCUUUAGCUUUGCAUGUUUAGUUUAGAUUUACAUUCAAUAAUAUAUGUUUAGCUUUUUGUUAUUGUAAUACAUCAGAAAUGGUCGUUUUUUGUUUUGCAUAAGUCAUACCAGUAUCAACAUAUAUACUUUAUAUUUAACAUGUUUUAUUCUUCUGUUACAGGCUCAUCUGAACGAUAUUGGAUGUGUGAAGACAUUUGUAUUGUCCUCUUUUCUUUUUCUACAUUUGUAUUAUUCCUUUUUACCUAAUGAAUGUACAUAGUUUAUACUGUACGUUAUGAUAUUUAAUUUGUAUAUAAAUUUUAGGCAAACGGUAUUUGUUUGUGUUUAUAGGUGCAUAGAUGUUUAUAUAUAUUGUGUUGAUUUUUAUUUUAAUAUAUGGAUGGAUCGAUG
rnacentral:lncRNA from 1 species